rnacentral:rRNA from 1 species
UUGGAGGGCAAGUCUGGUGCCAGCAGCCGCGGUAAUUCCAGCUCCAAUAGCGUAUAUUAAAGUUGUUGCAGUUAAAAAGCUCGUAGUUGAAUUUCGGGAUCAAUUUAUUGGUCGUGCUAUUGUACGUACUGGUAUUAUUGAUUCCUACCUUCUGACGAACCAUGAUGUCAUUAAUUUGGUGUCUUGGGGAAUCAGGACUGUUACUUUGAAAAAAUUAGAGUGUUUAAAGCAGGCUCACGCUUGAAUACAUUAGCAUGGAAUAACGAAAUAGGACGUUUGAUUCUAUUUUGUUGGUUUCUAGGAUCGACGUAAUGAUUAAUAGGGAUAGUUGGGGGCAUUAGUAUUCAAUUGUCAGAGGUGAAAUUCUUGGAUUUAUUGAAGACUAACUACUGCGAAAGCAUUUGCCAAGGAUGUUUUCAUUGAUCAAGAACGAAAGUUAGGGGAUCGAAGACGAUCAGAUACCGUCGUAGUCUUAACCAUAAACUAUGCCGACUAGGGAUCGGAUGAUGUUAAUUUUUUAAUGACUCAUUCGGCGCCUUACGGGAAAC